ACGGAGGGUGCAAGCGUUAUUCGGAAUUACUGGGCGUAAAGCGCGUGUAGGCGGUUCUGUAAGUCUGAUGUGAAAGUCCCGGGCUUAACCCGGGAAGUGCACUGGAAACUGCGGGGCUUGAGUACUGGAGAGGGAGAUGGAAUUCCCGGUGUAGAGGUGAAAUUCGUAGAGAUCGGGAGGAAUAGCAGUGGCGAAGGCGCCCAUCUGGACGGUAACUGACGCUGAGACGCGAAAGUGUGGGGAGCAAACAG
rnacentral:rRNA from 1 species